rnacentral:misc_RNA from 1 species
AAAAGAGAGAUAAAGAUAAGGUGAAAAGAGUAAAAUAUAAAUUAAAAGAAAGAGUACACUGCAAAUGCAAUGCAAAGCAGCUCAAUGAAUGGUUAUGGCAUUGGCAGGACAGUGCUCAGUGCCAGUGCCAGCCAUUUAAUUACACAGUAUGAGAGACAAAAGAAAAAGAAAAGCCGCUUUCGACUUUCCGUUUUGUCUUUCUCUUUUGAUUUAAUUUAAUUUAAUUUAUUA